UCAAGCUAAUUAGCUCCCCUUUAGAUAAGUACAUGUUGCACAUGUGCACCUACUUGUAAUCUCAGAUAUUUAUGCACACAAGUGUGAAGGUUUUUCAGGGAGCAGAGCAUCUGGGACAGGCUGAUUCUGAGCUAAACAGGGCUCCUUUAAGGCAAUAUGAACUGUUGCCUUCUAUAAAUUGCACAUUGAGGAACUCUAAUAGACAAAGAUUAGGUGUCAGGCAGAAAACACUCAUUGUAAAUAUACUAUUAGUUGAUAAACAUAGGACUUUCUUAUUCCCCAGUUUUUCUUUAUCAUAUAAUUUAAAUAUUUAUUCAUUUUGUAUUUAAAGACUACCUACACAUAGAUAUAUGAUUCCAAAGUCAUACUUUCUCCAUCCCCACAUUAGCCAAGUGAAUACAGGGCCAAAUGGGUUCUUGGAAUGAUAAUAACAAAGCAUUACAAAGUGGGUCCCCUUGGUUCCAGCCUUGUCCAGAGUUUUUGGUUAUAUAUUUCUAUUUAUUACAAUUUACCUUUUAAAUUGUAAAAUAAACCUUUGUGUGGACAGAGCCAAUGUUUCAAUCUUGAAUGAGUAAAGAAAAUACUUUGGAACUGAUCCUCAUUUUGAAAUUGGUUCUAAAUUAUUAUCCAUUUCCAAUGUCUGAAAUUCUCUUACUUCCUGCUAAAACUCUCUUUCUGCCAAAGUUGUUUCGUAAUCUGUCUCAAUGACUAUAAUGUAAAAUUAAAGAAGUAACCAUGCUUCUCAAGGGGGAAUUAAAAGUGUUUAUUGAAUUUUACUCAGGCUAAUUGUUUGGUCAGAAAUUCCUAAGGCCACAGCUUUGGGGGGUUCGUGUAGAUGUACAUGGUGGGUGGGUUAUAAAUAUUGGGACUUAAGGCAGCUUGUUCUAUGUAUUUAUCUUUGCUCUUGGGUGACUUAGGGAAUGAUUUUAUUUGAUUUAACCUUCUUUCUGUUUGCCCCGAGAAUACUCGCCAGUGGCGCUUGCAGUUGUAGCAUUUACCCCAAGAUAACUUUGCCUACGAAAUAUUUCGCUUUUAUUAUUUUCACAUCAUUCUAGUAUAUGGACUUUGGAAACAAAAGACAUUGUUCUAUUUAUAGCAUUCUUUUUUUUUUUUAGUAGCGGUAUUUCCAUUUACAAAAUAUAGUAACUCUUGAUUACUGAAAAUGUCAAAUCCUAGAAAACGUAGCAUGCCUAUACAUGAUGUUAACAUCAUUCUCGAACAGUUGUUGGCCGAAGAUUCAUUUGAUGAAUCCAAUUUUUUUGAAAUAGACAAUUCUGAUGUUCUCUUUAGAAAUAACUCAGUUUUUAUCUUUUUUCACAUUGAAAAUCAGUUAGAUUUGCUUAAGCCUCAAAGAGAAUGUUUAUGUAAAUUAGCGCUGGCAAUUUUUUUUUUUCUAAACAGGAAAAGGGUUAAAUGAAGGUUGAUAAAAUGGAUGUUCAAUUGUCUUUCUGAAAGUGAGUGGCUUGAAGGGAUGAAUAAAUAUUUUCUUAAUAUAUUCAAAAAAGUGCAUUGCUUUCUGUGAUGGAAGUUAAGACCUAAAUGUCUGGAAGUUGUAACCCUCAACACAGCUUUUCCUGAUUUGCUGCAAAGGCACAUAGCUGAUUAUAGAAGUGAAGACGGCAAGGACGGGGACUCCAACAAAGGAAACCCUGUUGCAGGAUUUGGGAACUUUCAUGCUUCAGAUGAAAUUCAGGCAUGUGAGCAUCACUGCAGAAUGUGGUGCAUCAUUGCCAUCAUGAGUAAUCACUUGCUGCUCCUACUUCUGAGACCAAGACUCUUUUGUCAUAUUCUUUAGCAAUAGGACGGGUAAAGACUGGAUUUAAUUGCUGUUCAGAGUAUAAAAACUCAAUUGAUUCCAACAUAUCUGAAUGUGCAGUAAAGUCUUAAAAGUCAACCGUUAAUCAUUAAGUCUUUUGCCUCUAAAGUCUUUUGCCUCUGAAGAGGUUUAUUACAUGAGUUGAUUUUCAUAUUUUCAUUUUGGUGGGGUUUUCCUGUUGUUGGGCAAGGUGGGGUCACAGGACAUGGGACUAGUAAGCAUUUUACUGUUUACUAUAUUUGUCUUUUUAUAAACAGUAUCUCCCAAAAUGUGAUUAGAAGGCUACCAAGCCUGUAUUUGGACAUUUAAUUGUGUGCUUUAUAUAAUGUAACUACUAACAGUAUUUGGACUGCCUGUUCAUUCCUGGAGACAAAAAUGAAAAUCUGUCAGUUCAAGUUCUUGGGUAACAUCAAGUCAUUAGAAUUUAUCUAAAGCUUAUCAUGAUUUGAUAAGACAUCCAUUGCAUGCAGCUGUUUUAGCUCAGUGCAAAACACUGAAAUUGUGAUUCUUAGACUGUUUCUGAGACAUUUGGAUGGAAAUAAAUGUAUAAAUGUUAAUUCAUGUAUAUAAAUUAGAAACACUUUUCUAGAUUCUGUAGGCUUUUGUUAAAAAUAGAGAAUUUCUUGGGGUUUACUUAGGCCACAGAAUGGCCAAAUAAUAAUAAUGACAAUGAUAUUACUAAUAAUAAUAGCUAACCUUUAUUUGGCACUUACUGUGUGCCAGGCACUAUUCUAUUUUUUUAAGAAUUUUUAAAAUAACAGCUUUAUUGAAAUACACUUUACCAUAAACUUCACCUUUUUAUUUUUUAUUUUUAUGAGACAGGGACUCACCCAGGCUGGAGUGCAGUGGAGCAGUCAUGGCACACUGUAGCCUCGACCUCCCUGGGCUCAAGCAAUCCUCCCACUUCAGUGUCCCGAGUAGUUGGGACUACAGGCAUGCGUCACUACACCUAAUUGGCUAAUUUUUGUAGUUUUUGUAGAGAUAGGGUUUCGCCAUGUUGCCUAGGCUGGUCUUGAAUUCCUGGGCUCAAGCGAUCCACCUGCUUUGGCCUCCCAAAACAGUGGGAUUGCAGGCGUGAGCCACCAUGCCUGGCUGAAAUUCACCUUUUAAGAUGUACAAUUCAGUGGUUUUUAGUAUAUUCACACACAAAAUUGCACAACUAUCACUAACAUCUAAUUUUAGAUCAUUUUGUAACUUCACCAAGAAACCCCAGGUCUGUCAGCAGUCAGUUCCAUUCCCCCUUCAUCCCAGCCUCUGGCAACCACUAAUCUGCUUUCUGUCACUAUUGAUUUGGCCAGACACUAUUCUUCUGUGCUUCUCAUGCAUCUCCUGUAAUACCAGUGCUACAAUUCUCAUUUUAUGUGGAAAAUUGAGGCACUGAGAGGUUAAGUAAAUUGCCCACGGUCACACAGUAAUUUGAUUUACAACAGUAAUAACACAUUAGAUGAGAACACAGUAGGACACAAUUUUGAAUUCCAUUUUUAUGUACCUGAAAUGAAUACACCCCUCCCCCAAGGUAUUUUCCCUAUUGUUAGCCUUUGUACCCUAGGUACAAAUAUAGGUAUUUUCCCUAUUGUGUUAUGUACCUGAAAUGAAUACACCCUUCCCCCAAGGUAUUUUCCCUAUUGUUAGCCUUUGUACCCUAGAACUGACUGGAUGUAGAUAACAUUUGUUUUCAGAGUAAUGGAACACUGUAUCAGCAGCAUCUGAGAACAUAAGAACAGUUGGACAUUGGAAAGAGGUUUGUUGCCCUCAUCCCUCCUUGAACCUCUUUUCUCUCCCGCUUCCACCACCACCACACAUAUAUACCCCUUUUUCUCAGUCUUAAGCAUCAAACAAUUUCUGCCUCUUUCUUUUUAAUUCUCCCAGAGGGAUGGUUAAUGCAUCACAAUUUAACUUGUCUAUUCAGGUAUUAAUAGUCAAGGGAUGCAUCUGUUUGCUUAUAGUACCAGUUAUAUUCCUAGGACCUUAGAGAGCAGUAGUGUGAGAAUAGAAUGCCUUUCUAUUUGGGUUAAACUAUGUGGGAGGAAAAAGUAACAGAGUAAAGGCUUUGCCUUAAUGAAGUCAAGUGUUCUGCCUGGUGGGAAGUGGCCACACGCUGCACUGCGCUGCUCUUGUUUACUCUGUUCUUUCAGAGCCUUUGUACUUUGCCAUCACUGCUAGUAAUUUCUUGGUCCUUUUCAAUACUCCAUUUUAAUCUUGAUUUUUUUCUAUAAAUAAUAAAUCUGUGAAAAAUCUGUAAAAAGAUUUGUGACUAUUAAAUGUGCAACUAAAAACACUGG
rnacentral:lncRNA from 1 species